rnacentral:rRNA from 1 species
GACGAACGCUGGCGGCGUGCUUAACACAUGCAAGUCGAACGGAAAGGCCCUGCUUGCCGGGUACUCGAGUGGCGAACGGGUGAGUAACACGUGGGUGAUCUGCCCUGCACUUCGGGAUAAGCCUGGGAAACUGGGUCUAAUACCGGAUAGGAGCCAUUUUUAGUGUGAUGGUUGGAAAGUUUUUUCGGUGUAGGAUGAGCUCGCGGCCUAUCAGCUUGUUGGUGGGGGAAUGGCCUACCAAGGCGGCGACGGGUAGCCGGCCUGAGAGGGUGGACGGCCACAUUGGGACUGAGAUACGGCCCAGACUCCUACGGGAGGCAGCAGUGGGGAAUAUUGCACAAUGGGCGCAAGCCUGAUGCAGCGACGCCGCGUGGGGGAUGACGGCCUUCGGGUUGUAAACUCCUUUCGCUAGGGACGAAGCUUUUUGUGACGGUACCUAGAUAAGAAGCACCGGCUAACUACGUG